CUAAAACAUCUAGAUUAAAAUAGCAAGUUCUUAGAUAAUCAGAAGAAUACUGUAAUUGUUCUCUUAUAUAAUUUUUAUUUUAAUUUUUUAGAGACAGCGUCUCUCACUGUCACCUAGGCUGGAGUGCAGUAGCAUGAUCAUAGCUCACUGCAGCCUUGGACUUCUGGGCUCAAGCUGUUCUCCCCUCUCAGCCUCUCAAGUAGCUAGGUCUGUGAGCAAAUGCUACCACGCCCAGGCCAUGAGAAAAGAGACCUAAGAAAUGAUGCCCAUCCAGAAGAGUGAAGACUUCCUGAAAAUGUUCUUUUAACCUAAGAUGUAGGUUAAGAGGAGUGAAAAAAUGUUCUGUUUCUGACUGAUGAUGGAGCAACAAAGGAACUCCUAAAGAAGAAAUCAUCCAUUCAGUGAGAGCAAAUGAACACUCCAACAGACUGAAACAAAGCAUCUUUACAGGAGAUGUGAAUGCGAGAAAGCAAAGAGAACUACAGUCAGGGUCUCCGCUGGCAUGGCCCAAGCCCACCGUGGCAUGAUCCAGAGAGACGAGUCAGCAGAGCACUAUGGGCAGCUCCCAUACUCUUCGCAGAUCAACAAGCCAGCAUAUAACCCAGGGAGAUAGAUAAUAGUGAUGCUGUGCUCUGUAGAGGGUAGUGGCAACAGUGGGAUUUCUUCUGGAAUAAAUCUGUAGUGAGCCAGAUGUUUCUGCUGACUAUAUUACUUCUGACAGUGUAUAAUCCAAAAUUGUUUCCUUGGCCUUCCAAAAAGUUUUAUAAGCUCCCUAACGGCUGCAAUAAAUCCCUUUCUUCUUAAACUAGCUAGAGUGGAUUUUUGUUCUCUACAAAACAGAUCCUGCCACUAAGAACCCCACUAGUAUUUGUUGCCAUGAUUAGGGAAUAAGUUAAACCACUGUAAGGGGGGAAAAGCAGCUCCAAGUACAAGGGCUUAAAUGUGUUAGAAGCUUCUUUCUCAUAUCACAAUUCAAGAUGAAUACCUGGGCCAUGCUCCAUA
rnacentral:lncRNA from 1 species